UACUAAUAAUUGUGGUAUCGGU
rnacentral:miRNA from 1 species